CUGCUUCCGGUGACGCUGCUUCCCAAGGCCACAUGCUUCUUUAUAUCCCCAUAGGGAUUACUUUGCUAUGGAAUGUAAGGAAGUGUGUGGCUUUGGCAAGUGCUUCUUCAUGGCCCCAAG
rnacentral:precursor_RNA from 13 species